rnacentral:rRNA from 1 species
CCCUUAGAUGUCCUGGGCCGCACGCGCGCUACACUGAUGCAUUCAACGAGUAUUUCCUUGGCCGAGAGGCCUGGGCAAUCUUUUAAACCUGCAUCGUGAUAGGGAUAGAUUAUUGCAAUUAUUAAUCGUGAACGAGGAAUUCCUAGUAAACGCAAAUCAUCAAUUUGCAUUGAUUACGUCCCUGCCCUUUGUACACACCGCCCGUCGCACCUACCGAUUGAAUGGUCCGGUGAAAUCUCGGGAUUGUGGCCAGUUCACUUUAUUGGGAGUUGGCUGCGAGAACUUGCUUAAACCUUAUCAUUUAGAGGAAGGUGAAGUCGUAACA